rnacentral:rRNA from 1 species
UACAGAGGUCUCAAGCGUUGUUCGGAUUCAUUGGGCGUAAAGGGUGCGUAGGUGGCGCCGUAAGUCGGGUGUGAAAUUUCGGAGCUUAACUCCGAAACUGCAUUUGAUACUGCGGUGCUUGAGGACUGGAGAGGAGACUGGAAUUCAUGGUGUAGCAGUGAAAUGCGUAGAGAUCAUGAGGAAGACCAGUGGCGAAGGCGCUCAUCUGGCCCAAUACUGACGCUGAGGCGCGAAAGCUAGGGGAGCAAACGGG